rnacentral:misc_RNA from 1 species
GAUGAAGAACGUAGCGAAAUGCGAUAAGUAAUGCGAAUUGCAGAAUUUCCGUGAGUCAUCGAAUCUUUGAACGCACAUUGCGCCCACUGGUAUUCCGGUGGGCAUGCCUGUUCGAGCGUCAUUAUCCUCCCUCAAACCUCGGGUUUGGUGUUGGACCCAAGUUGUGUGAACAACUGGUCUUAGACAAUGACGGCGUCCGUGGGACCCUCGGUGCAACGAGCUUUUAGGAGCACGCGUCGAGUUUCAAGGACCUUCCGGGCCGGUCUCCUUUACCAUUUUACAAGGUUGACCUCGGAUCAGGUAGGAAUACCCGCUGAACUUAAGCAUAUCAAUAAGCGGAGGA